rnacentral:rRNA from 1 species
UACGAAGGGGGCUAGCGUUGUUCGGAUUUACUGGGCGUAAAGCGCACGUAGGCGGAUCGUUAAGUCGGGGGUGAAAUCCUGGAGCUCAACUCCAGAACUGCCUUCGAUACUGGCGAUCUUGAGUCCGGAAGAGGUGAGUGGAAUUCCUGGUGUAGCGGUGAAAUGCGCAGAUAUCAGGAAGAACACCCGUGGCGAAGGCGGCUCUCUGGGACGGUACUGACGCUGAGACGCGAAAGCGUGGGGAGCGAACAGG